GAAGAAGAACGCAGCAAAAUGCGAUAAGUAAUGUGAAUUGCAGAAUUCAGUGAAUCAUCGAAUCUUUGAACGCACAUUGCGCCCGCCAGUAUUCUGGCGGGCAUGCCUGUUCGAGCGUCAUUUCAACCCUCAAGCACAGCUUGGUGUUGGGACUCGCGUUAAUUCGCGUUCCCCAAAUUGAUUGGCGGUCACGUCGAGCUUCCAUAGCGUAGUAGUAAAACCCUCGUUACUGGUAAUCGUCGCGGCCACGCCGUUAAACCCCAACUUCUGAAUGUUGACCUCGGAUCAGGUAGGAAUACCCGCUGAACUUAAGCAUAUCAAUAAGCGGAGGA
rnacentral:misc_RNA from 1 species